rnacentral:lncRNA from 1 species
GUCGCUCCCCGCCGGCUGCCGUUAGGGCUGGGAGCCGGCUGGGCGCGGGGGUAGUGAGGGUGCCUCUCGCCGUGGCUGCGCGGCGGCCUCGUCCGAGAGGCCGGCGCCGGGGCAGUGACCGGCCCGUGCCCAGCCGCCGCGCAGGGCGCCCGGGGCAGCUGGCCGAGCCCUCGAUGCCUCCCGUCUGACGGAGGCGCCCGGGAAGCGCCGCCCACCUCGGCCCCGCACCCUCGCCGGCCUGCCGGGUCUCCGCCAGCCCUAGCAGACAGAGAGGGGCGCCGGUCCCUAGUCCCCCAGACCUCCAUUCAAGGUCAAAACUUUGCCCAGCUCAGCCUUGCUCGACCCUGGGCAGGGAAGCGCGGACAUCGGCAGAGGGAGCCCGAGGCUCUCCGUGCCCUUCGCGCCGCUCCCCAAGGAUGGAUAACACUAACAUAUAGUCAGUGGGAAAGAAAUCUCAGAAAAUAACUGUUAGUUUGUCACUGUCAUGGGAAAUGGGAAGGAAGAAAAACAGCACUUAUCAAGCAUCUUCUGUGUACAAACUGCCAUUUCAGACUCAGAGCAGUCCUUGAAGGUCAAGAACUGUGGAAUCUUUCAGAUGAUAUUCUGAUACUUCUGGACCAAGAUUGAAUUUGUUCUUCAUGAAAAAUGUCUGGGACCUUUUAUAUGGACGGGGAAUACCAACGUAGAGAUGGUCAAGAAAAUUUGCGCUCCGACCUAAACCAAGCACGUUGUAUGGUAGUUGGAGAGCUAAAUGUGCGGAUUGGCUGAGUUGGCCAGCUAGAGUUAUUCAAUUAAAAAAAAAUUAAAAACAUCUCUGGAAACAUUGCUCCCAUCAAAUAUUAAAAUGAU